GUGUGUUGUAGUACUUCAGCCACUUCGCACGGAAACUUUCCGCGAUCCGCACACACGGCGUAGGGUCCUAGGCAUGCUGGUGCACGAAAGAAUUAGCUGCAGGUCGGCAGGGCGCUGGGCUUUUGUCGUGGCCCAAAGGUUUUCGUCACGUCUGUACUUUUUUAGAGCAAUUUUUUUUUUGGGAAAUUUUUUGAGUGCAAUUGCAAGGCGAUUAGAGCGAGUCUUCUGUUGUGGUUCUGCGUGCGUGCGAUGGUGACAUGCAGAAUUAAAGCAGUUGGCAUGCGGUAAAACGGGGGAAGCAUAAGUGGUUCUAGCGAUCCACCGCAUGCACCGCGUUCACCGUUCUACCUCAAAACAAAAUCUUGUUUACCAGUUGUUUUUCUUUGCCGAACCAAUCUACAAACUGAUGGAGUUAAGUAACAAAAACAUGUCGAAGCAGCUGUUAGCCAUCGAAAAUAAAAGUGAAGUACAAAAUGGAUGACAUUUUUUAUGAAUCGGAGGGAGUACCAAAUAACAGAGGACUCGAUCGUUUCCUCCCGUGGGAAAAUAUGCAAAUUACAAGAUGUGUGAUCACAAAUUCACAGUAACCACCGAGACACCCUAAAAGCUGGUUCUCUUGGCCAGCCUUUUACGCCGGCAAGGUUCACAUGAGCUUUGUUUUUCUUCUGGUUACGGUCUACUACGCCAUCUAAAUUUGUCAAACGUGCACGACGUUCCAUUCUACACAUUCGAUUACUCAGAAAAAUUAGCAACUUCAGGAUAAGAUACUGCAUGAGCGCAACUGCAUCUCCACUCCAUCUGCAAAUGGUGCAAACAUGGCCCUAGCCAACAUACACCCCAUGCGAUUGGUCAUCCGUACAAUUUUAAGCGUAAUCAUCUAGUGUACAUUA
rnacentral:lncRNA from 1 species